CCGCAACCGCGCCCUGUCCUGCACGACAUCCCGGAGCCUGGACCUGAGGCGAACCCCCACGCCCACCCCAAUCCAGGACACCGCUUGGCAGGGCGCUUGGCCUUUGUUAGCGUAUCUGACCCCCCCAGCCCAGGCCUCCUGCAGGGAGGACAGUCCCCAGAGCCAAGCAAGAGAGGUCCAGGCCCAGCGCACAAGUGUCGUGCCAACCUCUGCCCACAGCAGCUUAGGAGCAGCCCAUUGGCCAAGUGCAUCCGAGGCCGGCCCAGAGCCCAGAGGUGGAGACCAGUACCCGCCUCUUGAUGUAGGAGGUGAAGUCACCUUGCAGGGGGGCCAGGACACCGGGAGAGGAGGGAACGGGGCUCUUCCUACCAUAUGAGGACUUCUCCGAGCCAGCUUUCUGAGGGUUAACUGACGGCUGAUGGGUUCAAGAAGGAGGACACGGGCACAGGGACUCAGGGGCAGUGAGGGGCAGCAGGGCCGAUGGUGUGAGGAGCACCAGGGAGCAGGAGGGAACGGGCCUGGGGCGUGAAUCUGGCCCUACUGUCGGAUGAGUUCUCUUCCGCCACCCAAAUCUGGUCCGACCGUUAACAGCGUGGCCUUCGGCAAGUGACUAAAGGGCUUCCUGCCUCAGCUUUCCCACCCAUAAACAGAGGAUAACAGGCCAGGCGCGGUGGCUCACGCCUGUAAUCCCAGCACUUUGGGAGGUGGAGAUGGGUGGAUCAUGAGGUCAGGAGAUCGAGACCAUCCUGGCUAACACGGUGAAACC
rnacentral:lncRNA from 10 species